UACAGAGGGUGCGAGCGUUGUCCGGAAUCACUGGGCGUAAAGGGCGCGUAGGUGGUGGCUUAAGCGUGCGGUGAAAGCUCGGGGCUCAACCCCGGGUCGGCCGUGCGGACUGGCGUGCUCGAGCACUGUAGGGGCGGGUGGAAUUCCGGGUGUAGCGGUGGAAUGCGUAGAGAUCCGGAAGAACACCGGUGGCGAAGGCGGCCCGCUGGGCAGGAAGGCUCGCAAGAGCCGGCUGACGCUGAGGCGCGACAGCGUGGGGAGCAAACAGG
rnacentral:rRNA from 1 species